rnacentral:misc_RNA from 1 species
UCCGGUUUGGCACCGGCAGUCUCCCUAGAGUUCCCGGCAUUAUCCGCUGGCAACUAAGGACAGGGGUUGCGCUCGUUGCGCCACUUAAGGCAACACCUCACGGCACGAGCUGACGACAGCCAUGCACCACCUGUGCAGGCUCCGAAGAGCACCCGCUUUCACGGGUUUCACCCUGCAUGUCAAACCCAGGUAAGGUGGGGAUGACGUGCCAAGGUUGGUU